rnacentral:rRNA from 1 species
CCUACGGGUGGCAGCAGUGAGGAAUAUUGGUCAAUGGCCGUAAGGCUGACCCAGCAAAGUAGCGUGAGGGAAGACUGCCCUAUGGGUUGUAACCCUCUUUUAUACGGAGGUAAAGGUGUCCGCGUGUGGAUGUUUGCAGGUACCGCAUGAAUAAAGACCGGCUCAGUACGUGCCAGGAGCCGAGGUAAUACGGAAGGUCCGGGCGUUAUCCGGAUUUAUUGGGUUGAAGGGGAGCGUAGGCCGGUCUUUAAGCGUGCCGUGAAAUUUUGUGGCUCAACCAUGAGAGUGCGGCGCGAACUGGAGACCUUGAGUGCGCGGAAGGCAGGCGGAAUUCGUGGUGUAGCGGUGAAAUGCUUAGAUAUCACGAAGAACCCCGAUGGCGAAGGCAGCCUGCCGCAGCGUUACUGACGCUGAAGCUCGAAAGCGCGGGGAUCGAACAGGAUUAGAUACCCUGGUAGUC